GUGAACGCUGGCGGUAGGCCUAACACAUGCAAGUCGAACGGCAGCACAGUAAGAGCUUGCUCUUACGGGUGGCGAGUGGCGGACGGGUGAGGAAUACAUCGGAAUCUACUUUUUCGUGGGGGAUAACGUAGGGAAGCUUACGCUAAUACCGCAUACGACCUACGGGUGAAAGCAGGGGAUCUUCGGACCUUGCGCGAUUGAAUGAGCCGAUGUCGGAUUAGCUAGUUGGCGGGGUAAAGGCCCACCAAGGCGACGAUCCGUAGCUGGUCUGAGAGGAUGAUCGGCCACACUGGAACUGAGACACGGUCCAGACUCCUACGGGAGGCAGCAGUGGGGAAUAUUGGACAAUGGGCGCAAGCCUGAUCCAGCCAUACCGCGUGGGUGAAGAAGGCCUUCGGGUUGUAAAGCCCUUUUGUUGGGAAAGAAAAGCAGCAGGUUAAUACCCCGCUGUUCUGACGGUACCCAAAGAAUAAGCACCGGCUAACUUCGUG
rnacentral:rRNA from 1 species